UGUUGUUUCGCUUCGAUAUCCUUGCUAAAAUCAAUCGUGGGCUCACAGUCAAGAAUCAAUGCAGUUUUACCUUCUGUAUGCUCGGGUGCAUACGAUUUCCUUCCAAAUAAAAUACCCGAUCUUUAAUAUCAGGAUGUAUAGAGCAAUCAUGAACAGGAGGGUUGCUAAAAGAUAACGUUCCAUGAUUCCCACUUUCAGAUGGAAAAAGCCAACUUUCAUGUUUUUCAUGCAGAUCACG
rnacentral:lncRNA from 1 species